UGGGGAAUAUUGGACAAUGGGCGCAAGCCUGAUCCAGCAAUGCCGCGUGAGUGAUGAAGGCCUUCGGGUUGUAAAGCUCUUUCGNCUGCGAGGAUGAUGACGGUAGCAGGAGAAGAAGCCCCGGCUAACUUCGUGCCAGCAGCCGCGGUAAUACGAAGGGGGCGAGCGUUGUUCGGAUUUACUGGGCGUAAAGGGCGCGUAGGCGGCGAUGUAAGUCAGGCGUGAAAGCCCCGGGCUCAACCUGGGAACUGCGCUUGGGACUACAUUGCUGGAGUUCGGGAGAGGAGCGUGGAAUUCCCAGUGUANNGGUGAAAUUCGUAGAUAUUGGGAAGAACACCGGUGGCGANNGCGGCGCUCUGGACCGAUACUGACGCUGAGGCGCGAAAGCGUGGGGAGCAAACAGGAUUAGAUACCCUGGUAGUCCACGCUGUAAACGAUGUGUGCUANNCGUUGGGGAGCCUAGCUCUUCGGUGUCGCCGCUAACGCUGUAAGCACACCGCCUGGGGAGUACGGCCGCAAGGUUA
rnacentral:rRNA from 1 species